AUUGAACGCUGGCGGCAGGCCUAACACAUGCAAGUCGAGCGGAUGAAGGGAGCUUGCUCCUGGAUUCAGCGGCGGACGGGUGAGUAAUGCCUAGGAAUCUGCCUGGUAGUGGGGGAUAACGUCCGGAAACGGGCGCUAAUACCGCAUACUUCCUGAGGUAGAAAGUGGGGGAUCUUCGGACCUCACGCUAUCAGAUGAGCCUAGGUCGGAUUAGCUAGUUGGUGGGGUAAAGGCCUACCAAGGCGACGAUCCGUAACUGGUCUGAGAGGAUGAUCAGUCACCCUGGAACUGAGACACGGUCCAGACUCCUAAGGGAGGCAGCAGUGGGGAAUAUUGGACAAUGGGCGAAAGCCUGAUCCAGCCAUGCCGAGUGUGUGAAGAAGGUCUUCGGAUUGUAAAGCACUUUAAGUUGGGAGGAAGGGCAGUAAGUUAAUACCUUGCUGUUUUGACGUUACCAACAGAAUAAGCACCGGCUAACUUCGUG
rnacentral:rRNA from 1 species